GACGAACGCUGGCGGCGUGCCUAAUACAUGCAAGUCGAGCGCAGGAAGCCGUCUGAACCCUUCGGGGGGACGACGGUGGAAUGAGCGGCGGACGGGUGAGUAACACGUAAAGAACCUGCCCAUAGGUCUGGGAUAACCACGAGAAAUCGGGGCUAAUACCGGAUGUGUCAUCGGACCGCAUGGUCCGCUGAUGAAAGGCGCUCCGGCGUCGCCCAUGGAUGGCUUUGCGGUGCAUUAGCUAGUUGGUGGGGUAACGGCCCACCAAGGCGACGAUGACUCGCCGACCUGAGGGGGUGAUAGGCCGCACUGGGACUGAGACACGGCCCAGACUCCUACGGGAGGCAGCAGUAGGGAAUCUUCCACAAUGGACGAAAGUCUGAUGGAGCAACGCCGCGUGAACGAUGAAGGCUUUCGGGUCGUAAAGUUCUGUUGUAAGGGAAGAACAAGUGCCGCAGGCAAUGGCGGCACCUUGACGGUACCUUGCGAGAAAGCCACGGCUAACUACGUGCCAGCAGCCGCCGUAACAC
rnacentral:rRNA from 1 species